CUACCAGAAAGUCAUUAAGGCAUUAGUUUCUCUGAGAAGACAGAUCUGGAGAAAAUUCAAGAAAAUGAAAAAAAUUAUAUAUAAACAAGGUGGAGUCAAAAACAAUGCCUGCAUUUGUGGUUAGUUACAAGAUGUUUAUUAUGAAGAAGAUAGUAUUCAGACACAUAUAAACAAUUUGAUUCGGACAGAUUGGAUACAAGAUUUCAACCAGCAUAAGGAGAACAGAUGACAUGGAAAAGAAAAUAUUAUGGACCUGAGAGGACUCCAGCAAGAAAAGAAUAUCAGCUCUACACAAAAAAUGUAAUUUGGACUCCAGAGCCCUGUGGUCUUCCUGCUUAUUGAAAACCAUUUUUUUUAUUCAUAUCAAGAGGUCUGCUUUGGGUGGAACUUAUCUGAGGAUGCUUUCUAGAGGGGUAACUAACUGAUGGAUGGAUAGGACUGUCAGUGAAAUUCACCUGGGAUGAUAAGGAUUAAAUAGAAGAUAUCAGCUUUUUUUCAUCUUUUGCAAGAUUCAUAGAUUAUAGAGUUGGAAGGGACCACAAUGGAUCAUCGUGUCCAACCCCCUGCCCCUGGCAGGAAAGAGGACCAAAGUCAGAUGACCCCAGCCAGGUUUCCUGGAAUAUUGCUUUAGGACACGUAGUUCUGAUGAGGACCUACAUUACAAUGUCCUUGAACAUUGUAUGCAUAAGAAUUUCUGCAUCUCAUUGAGCUUCCAGGCUCAAGAUAAAAGGACACCAUACCUGAACUCCCUGUACUUGAGUUAGAAGAUCAAGAGCUGCUUGAACUGAGUGCAGACAUUUGCUACAGUACAGUACAGUACAAUACUUGGCCAAAAGCCCCCCCCCACCCCCCAAGUUUGAUACCACGAUGAGAAUGUCUGGCCCACUGCCUUCCAGAAUCUGUGAGGGAAUGAAGCAAAAGCAGAAAGGAUGGAUUAAGAAUAUUAAGCAGCCCAGGCACUUACUUUAUUGAUGGAUAAUGAUGGUGUGUACAACAGAGGGACACUAAUCAUGACGAAGAGGAGGAGGAGGAAGAAAUAAUUGUUUUCAUGUACAGAAGGGACCACACUGGCUCUUUUCCAGUCCCCUGGGACCUGACCUGAACGCCAUGAAUGCUCAAACAGUUUUGUCAGUGGUUCUGCUAUGACACUGGCCAAUUCCUUCAGCACCCUUGGAUGAAGAUCAUUUGGGCCUGCUGACUUGAACACAUCAAGCCACUCCAAGUGCUCUUUCACUAGAUCAACACUAACCAUUGGUAGGCUGGUGUCCCCCCUGUGCCUGUCUAUAGUCCAGGAAUUUCAAGAGUCCAAGAUUUCAAAGGAAUGUAUGGUUACUCAAUAUCUCUGAAAAUCAGGUCAGUUUAUAUUUAGGUGCUGAAGGGUGGAGUUCGGUUGCUAAGUUUGGGCUUGCCAAAUUUGAAAACACUUUGUGAAUAACUUUAUCAAAAUGGCCUUGUCAGUUCCAUGAAAUAGUGGGUUGGUAUUUAAGGUUCCACAAUGCAAAAACCCCCCAUGUUUCUUAGCUGCAAGCAUUUCUUUCUUUCAAAUAACAGAAUGGGAGAGAGGAAUGCAUACCCAAGGUUUAAAAAUGUUCAACCUAUUUAAUAAAUGUUUCAUUAUAGGCUUAUUUUCAUUCUGGAAUAGAUUCCCACUGCUCCUCAAUACUAAUAGUUAAUUUUACAAUAUUUCCUCCAAAAUUACUUUAAGCUACUAGAAACCAUCCUUUGUUUGUUUAUUGAUAGAAAACCAGUAAACUGCUUUCUUCCUGUUUGGACUCCUAUCCCCUGGACACAAUGGGAAUCAACACAAUAGAAGGAUUUGUAUUACAGGCAACACAAGAACAAUUAAAGUAGUGUUUACAUUUACAAGGUUUGAGGAUUUUAAUUGGAGUUUAUUUGUAAAAAAAAAAAGUUUAUCUCACCUUAUUUUUGAUACUCUGUAUUGUGUUAUCCAUGCUUACCACACAAGGGACAUCUUUCAUAUAAUAGUAGCAUUUCUGAUACUGUUCCAAAACUGCACUGUAAGUCAUGAGAGCCCAGUAAUAAAUUUCUCCCUCUAGUGGCUGCAGAAGGAAAACUAUAAAACUUGAAAGAUAAACCAUAUUUUGUAUUAAGCCUAAACAAGGCAUAUAAGGCAAAAAGGGUUGUAUUAUCCCCAUCUUAAAUGAAGACUCAUGAAUUUGCAAGUGUAAUUUUUAUAAUAACAUCUGCAACUUUUUUGAUUUCCCUUGAGUCAUUGAGUAAAUUACGGAAGCAAAACUGAGGCAAGUGUGAGUGAUGGUUUAUUUGUCCUAUUUAUAUUAAAUUACAGUUAAAUAUAAUAUACAAUUGAGAACAGAUAUUUUAUCAACACAAAUGCCAUUGAAUUCAGUGUAUUAGAUUCAUAAUGUGAGAAGAGUAGUAAUAGCAAGGAAUUGAGAGGAAUCAUAGUAUGUUUAUUGGUUAGUAUUUCCUCCUCCUAUUUCUUGUAGCAGCAGUGACCAGAGGAUCUUCAUCAUAGUCACCUUUACUUUAUUCCCAAAUUCUAUGUCUUCUAGAUUGGAUUGAUCUCUCUUGCCUAAGUACAGUUACUAAAAAUGAUGCUUGUAACAUUGUAUUAAUCUUAGCCUUUUGCUGCCAAAAAGUGUUAUGGAGUGAAUAUUUUGGUAAAUAAUGGUCUGUGGUUGCUUUAAGUGAAUUUUCAGAAGGAACGGACAGUGUUUUUUGUAGUGUGAGUGAGCGCGGAGAGAACACUAGGAUAGCGCUGAGCAAUCUCUAAGAAACUGCUUUUGUGAAUUGGUUCAAAUAUAGUUGAGCCAAAACACUAGUCUAAUUUUGUGAAACCAUUUCCUGUUAUUUCUCCCUGUGUUUUUUCAAAUACUGUUGAAUCAUGGCCUAUUUUUAUUUAGCUAACGGAAAAAAGUUUUCAAUGCAUUAAAAACACAAAAAUCAAUUCCCACCAUUAAAGCUUAGUGGCACAAGUGAGUGUCUUGCAAUAAAUCUGCAUUAUAUGUGUGCUUUUUCUCACAUCCUAUUCUUCUCUUUUCUCUCAGUUCUGUUUCUCACAGCCUGUCAGAGUUGCCACAUUGACACGGUAAUAUCUGAAACAUCCUAUAGUGCUGGAGAUGGCACAUAGCAGUCAAUGAGAUCAUCACUGAAAUGGAGUCAUAUAAAUUGUGCUGAUGACCCUUCUCUCUUUCUCUCUCUUUGGACUAAACUUAGGAAGGCUGGUGUGAGUGGGAACAGCUCCCACUGACUUCACUGAGAACUGUAUCAUUUUAGGUCAAGGUUCUCUCCUUACUGGAUUUUUCUUCUAGCACUUCCUCAGUCAAUCAACUUCUUUAACUUAAUUGUCAAUUAACUGGCAGAAGAAAUUAAUGGUAGAAAGGGAAAAAAACACCUACCAAUAUUUCAUUAAUAAUAGGAGAGAAAUCUUUAUAUUGGGAAUGCUAGUCACCAUUUUUUUAGUUUUCAUACCAAGGUGUGAGAGAAAAGUUAAUGCAGUCUCUAACACUGUUAUAUUCAUCUGCUUAACCACUGACUGAACUAAACUGUAAUCUUCCAUCAUGUAAUUACCAUGAACAUACAAAUCCAUGAACAUGCUGAAGCCUCACAAAUUCAAUAAGAUAUAAAAUCCAGGCAAUACAAAAACUAUUUAGAAUUAAUGGUUUAGUCUUCACUGGGAGGACAUGUUCCCUGACAUUUCAUCAAAGAAACAUCCAUCAGUGACAGAGAAGAAAUCUGAAUUUACUUGAAUACUCCUGGCUAAUGCAGUACAAAAAAGGUCUAGUCCAUUUUUUUUAUAUUUCUACUUUCAGAUGGGCCCUAGCCAGAAAGUCCGAUUCUCUCUCUCUCUCACUCACACUCACACACAUACACACCCACACCCACACCCACACACCCACACACCCACACACACACACACACACACACACUUCAACUUUUUAAACCUUUACUGAAAACACAUGUUGGAAGUGAAAAGAUAUGUGGUCCUGCCAGGAGAGAGGGAGAGAGAACAGUUGUAAAAUUCUGCUUCUCAUUUGACUCCCAAGUUCUUCCCUCAAAGUUGAUGAGUUUUCUGACCCAUUGUAUCAUUGGUUUAGAUCUAUCACAGACAAGAGCUAACUCAACACCACGUUGCCCACUGUCCCUAAAUUUACAAAGAGACCUUUAAAAAAAAAGGCUAAAAAUGCCUUUACAUAAAAUCCAUAAAAAUGAAGCCAUCCAUAAAAAAAAACCAAAACGCUAAGGUACCAGAGCUUGAUUGAAGCUCUGUUGUUGGAAAGAAGAUGGAGGCAGUGCUGAAGUACAGACAAAGCAGAGCAAUGCCACCUGAUGUUUAAGUGAGAAUGCAGCAUCCUGAAGGGAGCUCUUGUCAGGGCUUUGUGGCUCAUGGGAGUCUUUGUAGCUCUCUCCCCAUUGCCUACCAACCAUGUGCUCCUCUUGCUGCUGUUGUGUCCCAUAUACCUGUAACACAUGGUAUAUUGACAUAUACCAAUCAGAUUGCAAGAUGAAUGUCUUAGAUUAUAUAGUAACAGGGAAGGGAUUGUUUCUUCCUCCAUUUUUGUACAGCAGCCUGCAUUCUAAUACUUGAUUCCUGCUUGGAAUAUAAGUGACUAUUAAUAAUAAAUGCAUAUCAUUGUCAGGCUUUGUCAGAAUACUCCCCAUAAAACUUUUCUUCUUGCUGGGAAGAUUUGAAUCUAUCAAUCUGCUUUCCAAACUUUUUGACCACCACUAAGCAAGCAAACAAACAAAUCUUUCAGCAGUUUUUAUUUCUUUAGCCAGCAUUUUGGCUUUCUGUAGUUCUAAGAGAUCCCGUGAUCUACUUUGCUAGCCUCAUCUUGUUUCCAUACUGCACCAGAAAAUUCUGUUAUAUUUUAUUUUAUCCUCUUGUGAAAGUUUUCUUUCAUUCUCUACCUAUGCUUUUCUUAUCACUUUUUAUGCUCUCUUAACUUCAUUAUGCAAUCAUUCCAAUCCUGCUCGCAUUUGAAGUUUUAUAACUCGUGUCUGUCUCUUUCUCACCCUUGAUUACUUUUACACUUCUCUGUUCCUUCACACUAGCUCUUUAAAAAAACCUCCUUGUGCAAUUAUUGCUAGAUGGCAUGCAUAACCCUUGGGCAUACAUUAAUUUAUCUUUGAACACUUUCCAUUUCCCCUCUGUGUCCUUUCUCUCCAUUACUUUAUCCUGUUCAAUUUCACCCUGCACUUCCUGCCUUCUACCAAAUUUUGCUCUGCUGAAAUCCAAUCUACCUGAUUUUUUUCAGUUUCUUAGUUGAACAUUAAUCCCAAUCCUUAACUAAAUUAUAAUACUUGUUGUUUAACUCAUUCUCCCUCUCUUUUACAACACUAGCCUUAGUAUUGUUACAAGAUUCUUACAAAAAUUAGCCCUUAUUGUAGUUACUAUUAUUUUACAAAGUGUAUGAUUUUUAUUGCUAUUUGUAUUAAUAAGCACCUAGGAGCCCUAAUCAUUGUCCAGGAAUCCAUCAUGGUAGGCACUGUAAGGAAACAAUCAUAUGCAAUGUCCACAAAUUUGUUGCUCAUUUUUCCAUUCCCAGCUUUAGUUUCAUUAUGAUGGUGGCCUAGCAAAGUACUUCAGCAUGUGCUUAACUUUAAACACAUGAAUAAUCUUUUAAACAUGUGAUUAAAUGCUUUCCUGCUUUGAGGGCUGGAAAUAUCUUCAGGAAAUUAAGAUAUUCCAUACCUACAAGGUUGUAUUUUCUUUCCCUCAGUGCUUUUUUUUUAUCUCCUUCCCAUCUCUUCAUUAUGUUAAUUUCACUCCUUUAUGAACUUUGUUACAAUCUUAAUUGCUCCUUUACAUCAUAGGUAUUGUUUUUUAGUUCUGAAAUGGGGUCCAUGCUUCAGGUGAUGAGUUCGGCCAAAAAAGUAAUGAGAGAAUAAAUAAUGGGUAAGGCUUUGUCUAUUGCAUUGGGGAUCAAAAGCAGCAGAAGCUCUGUGCGAAGGUACUCUGCUUCAUUUGCAUAGUGGGAAGAUGCUCUUGAUGGCAAGUUUUGCAGGUCAAGGAGAAACAUAAACAGUUUCUAAUUAGAGACAGGAUCCUUUAUAAGACAUAUGACUAUAGCUAAGAGAAGAGAUUAUUGAGAGAAACAAUUCCAAUACUACAGGGAUGUCCUCAAGUCCAAAGGCAGCCAAAAUUUCCAGGGAGAAUUGCAAAACAAUGACAGUUGCCUAGUGGUGGAGGAAAAUGAGGGAUUAAAUUGAAGGAACCCAAGAAGCAAAUCUAAGGCAAGACAAACUCCAGUGCAUAUACUGUAGGAAGUAACAAGGAAGGCUGAAGAAAUCCACCCUAUGGGCAAUGUUAGAAGAAGCAUGAAAAAACAGAACCACUUUAUAGCCUAAUGCCAUAACUAUCCCAAAAGAAAAAAAGAAGUGUUAUGGGCAGUGCUUGACACAUAGACUUCCAGGAAAGAGGAGGAUGUCUGUAGUGUGACUUGAGUAGAUGCGAAGGUUUCUAGUUUACAGGCAGUUUAAUGAUCUUAUUCAAUUAACAUAUUUCAACUGCUAGAUCAACGAACAAUUUGAUUUGAUUUGGAUAGUGAAACUAGCUGUAACAUAACCCUAACAUCAUAGAUAAGCAGGAACAGUAGACUGGUCAGAAAACGUCAUACUUGAAUGACUAUGAGUCUACCACUACCCCAGCUGUAAAGACCCUCUGGCGAGCUAUGUAACCUCUGGCCCCAGCAAGUCAGCAAAUUUGGGCAAGAAUUCUCAAGAGAGAGUUAAAAAGCAAGAAGUACAACCUGCAAGAAACUUGGAGCAAGGAGCACAGCUUGGCAAAAGGAAGAAAGAAUUUGGAGGAGUUACCUGGAUGCUAGUAUGUAUGUGCCUGGCUGGAAUCUACUGGCUAUUGCAACGUCUCUUAAUACAGAGCCAGUUUAGUUUUAGAAACCUGGAGCUCACUCAUAUUGUUAGGUAGUAUCUGGUACUUUAAACCAGCUCUUAGUAAUUUCCAGACCUUCUUUUCCAUGUAAGAUGAUUUUUUCUUGCCUCAAUGCCAUGAAAACUCCUAUCUCACUUGAAUUUACUUUUUCCUACUCAAUUUAUGAAUAAUUAUCAGUAUAUUUUAAAUAGAUUUAGAGUGCUGAUGUUUCCUGAGUGUAUAUUGUUCCUGUUCUUCUACUUUUUUUCUUAUGUUUCUUA